CUAAAUGAAACUAGAUACAAGCGAGCGGCGGACGGGUGAGUAACACGUGGGUAACCUGCCCAAGAGACUGGGAUAACACCUGGAAACAGAUGCUAAUACCGGAUAACAACACUAGACGCAUGUCUAGAGUUUGAAAGAUGGUUCUGCUAUCACUCUUGGAUGGACCUGCGGUGCAUUAGCUAGUUGGUAAGGUAACGGCUUACCAAGGCAAUGAUGCAUAGCCGAGUUGAGAGACUGAUCGGCCACAUUGGGACUGAGACACGGCCCAAACUCCUACGGGAGGCAGCAGUAGGGAAUCUUCCACAAUGGACGAAAGUCUGAUGGAGCAACGCCGCGUGAGUGAAGAAGGGUUUCGGCUCGUAAAGCUCUGUUGGUAGUGAAGAAAGAUAGAGGUAGUAACUGGCCUUUAUUUGACGGUAAUUACUUAGAAAGUCACGGCUAACUACGUGCCAGCAGCCGCGGUAAUACGUAGGUGGCAAGCGUUGUCCGGAUUUAUUGGGCGUAAAGCGAGUGCAGGCGGUUCAAUAAGUCUGAUGUGAAAGCCUUCGGCUCAACCGGAGAAUUGCAUCAGAAACUGUUGAACUUGAGUGCAGAAGAGGAGAGUGGAACUCCAUGUGUAGCGGUGGAAUGCGUAGAUAUAUGGAAGAACACCAGUGGCGAAGGCGGCUCUCUGGUCUGCAACUGACGCUGAGGCUCGAAAGCAUGGGUAGCGAACAGGAUUAGAUACCCUGGUAGUCCAUGCCGUAAACGAUGAGUGCUAAGUGUUGGGAGGUUUCCGCCUCUCAGUGCUGCAGCUAACGCAUUAAGCACUCCGCCUGGGGAGUACGACCGCAAAGGUUGAAACUCAAAAGGAAUUGAC
rnacentral:rRNA from 1 species